rnacentral:rRNA from 1 species
UACGGAGGGUGCGAGCGUUGUCCGGAAUCAUUGGGCGUAAAGGGCGCGUAGGUGGCGGGACAAGCGUGCGGUGAAAGCCUGGGGCUCAACCCCGGGUCGGCCGUGCGAACUGUUUUGCUUGAGCACUGUAGAGGCAGGCGGAAUUCCGGGUGUAGCGGUGGAAUGCGUAGAGAUCCGGAGGAAGACCGGUGGCGAAGGCGGCCUGCUGGGCAGUUACUGACACUGAGGCGCGACAGCGUGGGGAGCAAACAGG